AUAGAAAGAUAGGUUCCAGGCGCCCUACCCCCGGAUGGGAGGGCAUAAAGGCGAAGCCGGUGAGAGUCCGGCGCUGUCCCGCAACUGUAAUCCGCUGAUCAGCGGAAAGCCAGGUCGACUGCCUGAAACCCUGCACCCAC
rnacentral:ncRNA from 2 species